rnacentral:rRNA from 1 species
UUUCCCUGGGGAAAAUAAUGACUGUACCCAGUAAAAAAACCCCGGCUAACUCCGUGCCAGCAGCCCCGGUAAUACGGAGGGGGAUUAGCGUUGUUCGGAAUUACUGGGCGUAAAGCCCGCGUAGGCGGAUCAAAAAGUUGGGGGUGAAAUCCCGGGGCUCAACCUCGGAACUGCCUCCAAAACUCCUGGUCUUGAGUUCGAAAGAGGUGAGUGGAAUUCCGAGUUGUAAAGGUGAAAUUCGUAAAUUUUCGGAGGAACACCAGUGGCGAAGGCGGCUCACUGGCUCGAUACUGACCCUGAGGUGCGAAAGUGUGGGGAGCAAACUAGGAU